rnacentral:rRNA from 1 species
AGCAGUAGCCACGGGAAAACGAAGGGGGCUAGCGUUGUUCGGAAUUACUGGGCGUAAAGCGAGUAUAGGUGGUUGUCCAAGUUGGAUGUGAAAGCCUUGAGCUUAACUCAAGAAAUGCAUUCAGGACUGGGUGACUAGAGGACCGGAGAGGAUAGUGGAAUUCCCAGUGUAGUGGUGAAAUACGUAGAGAUUGGGAAGAACACCAGUGGCGAAGGCGGCUAUCUGGACGGUUUCUGACACUAAGACUCGAAAGCGUGGGGAGCAAACAGGAUUAGAUACCCCCGUAGUCCCUGUCUCUUAUAC